UUGAUUCUCUUCUCAAAGUAGUUGAAAAACAAAACCCUAGGGGGUUCUCCGCAAGAACAAUCGCCGCCGGCUUGAUCUUUCUCUCAACUUAACCCUACUACACCCUUCAGAGCGGUUCCCACUCUGUAUCAGUUCUGCGCUCUCUGGUUUAUCAAGCCUCUUUUUUGAAAUUCCAUUGUUUUUGCAUUGUUCAACCAUUUGCAGUAAUUUAAGCAAAAUAAGUGAUUUUUAUGCUUCUUAGAUGUUUGAUCACAGAGGGUUCAUAAUUUUUACUUAGAAAACCAACAUAUAUUAAAGUUUGUAUAAUCGAAGAUUGGAUUUUAUGAGCUGAAAGUCCUGAUUUUUAGGUUUUUACAUGUGAGUCUUGAUUAUUUUAGGGUUCAGAUUACAGAGUUGUUGGUUUCAUAGCCCCUUUUCUGUCGUUUUUAGGGUUAGUGGUGUUGGCUGUGGGAUUUUGAGUAAUUGGUGAAUUUGCUGAGCUUGUGAAUAUGUUAUCUGAAUUCAGUAGGAGGCCAAUGAUGGGAAACAAUGAAAACUCGUUUGGAGAUGAUUUUGAGAAGGAGAUAGGGCUUUUACUUUCUGAACAUCGUCGUCAAGAGGCUGAUGAUCUUGAAAAGGAACUUAAUUUAUAUAGAAGUGGCUCAGCUCCUCCUACUGUGGAGGGUUCUUUUACUGCAGUUGGUGGUUUGUUUAAACAUGGUGCUGGAGGUGGUAGCAGUGGCGUUGGAGGGAGCUCCACCAUUCAGGAAUUUGCGCGGAACAAAAAUGGGAAUGGUUUCAUAUCAGAAGAGGAGCUUAGGUCAGACCCUGCUUACUUGUCUUACUAUUAUGCUAAUGUGAAUCUGAACCCUAGGUUGCCUCCUCCUCUGAUGUCCAAAGAGGAUUGGAGGUUUGCACAGCGCUUACAAGGAGGGAACUCUGCAAUAGGGGAUAGGAGGAAAGUAAACAAGAAUGAUGGUGCCAUGGUUGGUAGGUCACUAUUUUCCAUGCCACCAGGAUUUAACUCAAAGAAAGAGGAGACUGAGAAUGAAUCAGACAAAUUACAGGGUUCAGUUGAGUGGGGUGGGGAUGGGCUGAUUGGUUUGCAGGGAUUAGAAUUGGGUACCAAACAAAAGAGCAUUGCUGAGAUAUUUCAGAAUGAUUUGAACCGUGUUCCUGCAUCUGGUGGUCGCCUUUCACGCCCAGCAAGCCGUAAUGCAUUUGAUGCUAGCGAUGAUAACUUGAAUUCUGCAGAACCUGAUAUUUCUCACCUUCGUCAUGACAUUUCAUCCUUAGACCCAUUAAGGUCUGCAGCAAAUGCCCAGGGUUCAUCUGUUCAACAUGUAGGACCGGCCUCAUCAUAUUCAUAUGCUGCUGUUGUGGGUGCUUCAUUGUCAAGAAGCACCACUCCCGAUGCUCAACGUGUUGCUACUGCUCCUAGUCCUUGCAUUACUCCUAUUGGUGGUGGGAGGAUUGUUACAUCAGAGAAAAAAAGUAUUAAUAGUCCAAAAACAUUUAAUGGUGUCACUUCUCAUACAAAUGGGCCCACAGAUCUGGUUGCUGCUUUGUCUAGUAUGAACCUUUCAAAUGGUAGUCAGAGUAAUGCAAAACAGCAUGCUUACUUGAAGAAAUCUGAAUCUGCACAUUAUAAUAUUCCUUCUGCUUCUCAGCAGACUAGAGCACAAUACACUGAGGCCGGUGCUAGCAACGUUGAUGACCUUCAUAGUUCUAUUCUCCAAUCUGACCUUCACAAAUCUACUGUUAACUCUAAUAACUCAUACCUAAAAGGAUCUCCUACUUCAACGCUCAAUGGUGGAGCUGGCUUACUUUCUCAUCACCUGAAUUUGGACAGUUCCAAUACACCAUAUUCAAGUUAUGGGUUGAGUGGCAAUUCUGCCAAUCCAAUGUCGAGUCAGCAUGGCAACUUUAAUCUUCCACCCUUAUUUGAAAAUGCUGCAGCAGCAUCUGCUAUGGGUGUUCCGGGAAUGGACUCAAGAAUGUUGGGUGGUGUAAAUUUGAAUGCUGCUGCAUCUGAGCAGUACCUUGGUAGGAUGGGAAAUCAGAUGGCUGGUGGUGCUUUGCAGGCACAAUUUAUGGAUCCACUAUAUGCUCAGUACUUAGUUCAGUUUGCAGCACUUAAUGAUCCUUCCAUGGAUCGGAGCUAUAUGGGCAAUUCAUAUAUGGACUUGCUUCAGAAAGCUUAUGUUGGCAACAUGCUAUCUCCUCAGAAAUCACAGUAUGGUGUUCCAUUGAAUAGCAAAAGCAUGGGUUCUAAUCAUCAUGGCUACUAUGGGAAUCCUGCAUUUGGUGUAGGUUUCUCAUAUCCCGGGAGUCCAUUGGCAAACUCUCCUAUAGGACCUGGAAGUCCUAUGAGGCACAGUGAUCAUAGUAUGAGAUUUUCUGGAGGAUUGAGAAAUUUAGGUGCAAGUGUUGGAGGCUCCUGGAACUUAGAUAACAUGGAAACCAGUUUUCCAUCCUCUCUCCUGGAAGAGUUCAAGAGCAAUAAAACUAAAUGUUUUGAGCUAUCAGAGAUUGCUGGUCAUGUUGUUGAGUUCAGUGCUGACCAAUACGGGAGCCGAUUCAUUCAGCAAAAAUUAGAGACUGCCACAGCAGAAGAGAAAAGCAUGGUUUUCCAGGAAAUUAUUCCUCAUGCAAUUACAUUGGUGACUGAUGUCUUUGGUAACUAUGUAAUCCAAAAGUUUUUUGAACAUGGAAUGGCAACUCAGAGGAGAGAACUAGCUAACAAGCUCUUUGGGAGUGUAUUAACAUUAAGCCUUCAAAUGUAUGGCUGUCGAGUGAUCCAGAAGGCAAUAGAAGUAGUUGAUGUGGACCAGAAGAUUAAGAUGGUUGAGGAGCUCGAUGAUCAUGUCAUGCGUUGUGUACGUGAUCAGAAUGGGAAUCAUGUCAUCCAGAAGUGUAUUGAAUGUGUGCCAGAAGAUCACAUUCAAUUUAUUGUUUCAACAUUUUUUGGUCAAGUUGUGACGCUAUCUACUCAUCCAUAUGGAUGUCGAGUAAUACAGAGAGUACUAGAACACUGCAACGAUCCACAAACCCAAAGUAAAGUCAUGGAAGAGAUUCUAGGAUCUGUAAGCACAUUGGCACAGGAUCAGUAUGGUAAUUAUGUUGUACAGCAUGUACUGGAGCAUGGAAAGCCGCAUGAGAGGUCUACUAUUAUUAAGGAAUUAGCUGGUAACAUUGUUCAGAUGAGCCAGCAGAAGUUCGCUUCAAAUGUUGUAGAGAAAUGCUUGACAUUCGGUAAUGCUAGUGAAAGACAACUUCUCGUGAAUGAGAUGCUUGGCACAACUGAUGAAAAUGAGCCACUUCAGGCGAUGAUGAAAGAUCAGUUUGCAAAUUACGUCGUACAAAAAGUUUUGGAAACUUGCAGUGAUCAGGAGCGUGAACUGAUCCUUUCACGCAUAAAAGUCCACUUGAAUGCAUUGAAGAAAUACACCUACGGGAAGCACAUUGUUGCACGUGUUGAGAAACUCGUUGCUGCCGGGGGUGAGUAAUUCUUCUUCCCUUCUCGCUCACUCUCGUCUUUUCUUCAGGACGUUGUAGACAUGCAGCACUCCCUAAUUAUUACUUUCUUCGUCUUGAAUGCAGAAAGGAGAAUGGCUGCUCAGACUCCAAAUCCCGCAUAGAUCUUCAUAGAAAAGAAAGAUGUACAGCUAACCGAGGCUAGUUUGAGCUGCCUCUCUCCCUUUCUUUUCUCGAUACCUAGUUCUCUGGCUCCUCCGUGCCCUUGUUCCGUGAUCUGUGAUUGCAAAUAAAGUUGUUGCUCCUACUAGAGAUCUGUACAUUAUGUAGCUUAAAGAAGUCUCUAUACACAGAACUAAGUAAAGCUAAAAGCCAGGCUGUUACAUAUUCUGAUGGCUGUUGCAGAGGAAGUGAAGCUUCUAUUAUAAACCAUGUAAAAAUGAUACCAACCUGGCCAUAGUAGUUUUUAUAUGAUCAACGUGACUGUACAAAUGUUACCAUGUUGAGAGAUAUGAUGUUUUAGGCAUGGCUGGCCAGAGUUUUCAUGUAUGCUACUUAGUAUUUAUCAUGUUCUUUUAAUGCUGAGUUAUAUGUUUUGUAUGCCUCAA